rnacentral:lncRNA from 1 species
AGGCUCCAGAAACUGCCUGAGGGGCAGCCCCGAGGCUCCGAGCCCGGCAGCUCCGGGGUCAGGCCGAGCUCCAGAAGCUGCCUCAGGGACAGCUCCGGCCUCAUCCCGAGCUCCAGGAACUGUCUCAGGGACAGCUCCGGAUUCAGCCCAAGCUCCAGGAACUGUCUCAGGGACGUCCCCGGGCUCAGCCUGAGCUCCAGGAACUGCCUCAGGGGCAGUCCCGAGGCUCCGGGCCCGGCUGCUCCAGGGUCAUCCCGAGCUCCAGAAGCUGCCUCAGGGACAGCUCCGGGUUCAGCCCGAGCUCCAGAAGCUGCCUCAGGAACAUCCCUGGGGUCAGCCCGAGCUCCAGAAGCUGCCUCAGGGACAUCCCCGGGCUCAGCCCGAGCUCCAGAAGCUGCCUCAGGGACAGCUCCAAGGCUCCGAGCCCGGCAGCUCCGGCCUCAGCCCGAGCUCCAGAAACUGCCUCAGGGGCAGCACCAAAAGACCACGGAGGAGGGCCGGUCCUUGCCGGUGGCCGGACCUCUCCCAGCACAGGCAGGGUCGCUACAGACGCCUGGAUGCAAACCUCAUCUCCGUGGUGCCCGACAGCAGCUUUGAGGGGCUGCUCUCCUUGCGUCACCUGUGGCUGGACGAUAACGCCCUGACGGAGAUUCCCGUGCGAGCCCUCAACCACCUGCCAGCGCUCCAAGCCAUGACCCUGGCCCUCAACCACAUCUGGCACAUCCCCGAUUUCGCCUUCCAGAACCUCAGCAGCCUCGUGGUGCUGUAAGCCUUCUCCAUUUCUUAUUCCCUCGGCUGGGACAAGGUGCUGCCCACGGGCUCCCCCUCCUGCGGGAAUCCCUGCUGGUCACUCCCCGCCAGCAGAGUUCUGCUGCUGGGGCGAGGGGCAGAGGUUUUGUUCCAAGAGUCAGGGAAUCCCCCUCAUUUGAUAUGAAAUGCUAAAAAUCGCCGCUUUUCAUUUUUGUCAUGUUUUCCCCGCUUUUCAGUGAACAGCUACAAAGCUCCCUGAUAUAAUUCAAGAAAUGUUUUGUAUAAAAAAAAAUAAUUAGUGACUGGAAACAAAAAAACAGAUUGUUCUCCUUGAAGAGUCAAGCAACAGAAACCUUCUCAUUUCUUUUCCUUCCUCCAGUCCCUGUGUUAAAACAACAGGAAUUUCUAGCAACAUGGAAAAAAAAAUUAUAUUGCAACAAUUUGCAGUGAGGUCAAAAAAGUCAUAUUUUCAUUUCUUGGAAAACAUACCAGCUCACUCCCUCUCCUCCCCCUCCCCCCUGUUAUUAGCAAAUACGAUUUUAAACCAAAG